GAUGAACGCUGGCGGCGUGCCUAAUACAUGCAAGUCGAGCGAACGGACGAGAAGCUUGCUUCUCUGAUGUUAGCGGCGGACGGGGGAGUAACACGUGGAUAACCUACCUAUAAGACUGGGAUAAAUUCGGGAAACCGGAGCUAAUACCGGAUAAUAUUUUGAACCGCAUGGUUCAAAAGUGAAAGACGGUCUUGCUGUCACUUAUAGAUGGAUCCGCGCUGCAUUAGCUAGUUGGUAAGGUAACGGCUUACCAAGGCAACGAUGCAUAGCCGACCUGAGAGGGUGAUCGGCCACACUGGAACUGAGACACGGUCCAGACUCCUACGGGAGGCAGCAGUAGGGAAUCUUCCGCAAUGGGCGAAAGCCUGACGGAGCAACGCCGCGUGAGUGAUGAAGGUCUUCGGAUCGUAAAACUCUGUUAUUAGGGAAGAACAUAUGUGUAAGUAACUGUGCACAUCUUGACGGUACCUAAUCAGAAAGCCACGGCUAACUACGUG
rnacentral:rRNA from 1 species